UUUCAAGAAGAAUAAUGUACUCUGAAGUUAAUCAACAUAGAUUAAAAAGAGAUGAUUUUGUCUAUCAUGGGCUUACAAUUUCAGGAUGACAUAUAUAGAGUUUAAAGUAAUUUGGAAAUAUGGGAACAGCAACUUUUGACAAAGAGAAACACAAGGUAUAGCUGAAAUAGUGAGGAGUGAGAAUCUGUGAGUGAGAGGGAAAUGUGGUCACGAGGAAAAUGUCAGCAUUUAGGGGAAGUGAAAGGGAAAAUGAAUCAAAGAACACACAGAAUUAUCUUUCAUGAGAACAAGGAGGACACUGUACUCCAGAAAAUAAGGAAAACAACCUUCUUCCCAGAGAAAAACUUUGAGAUACCUGCUACGGACUCAGAAAGUAAAACAAGACAAAAUGAAACACAAAUUACAGAAAUGAAGAAGGCUGGCUCAAGGGAAAAUGAGAAUGAAAAUGAAAUGAGGAUAUCAGAAAGAUUUACUGGGAAGAGAAUGAAAUGUAUCCGAAGUCUGAUGUCUCCAUUUGAAUGCUUCAGAAUCAUGGGCUACAAGCCACAAAAUUCAUAAUAAAUGUGCUGCAAGGUUAUACAUGAGAGAACAGAAGUCUGGAGGACCUUCUCAUCUCUGUGAGCACCUAGCAUAGUACUUUCU
rnacentral:lncRNA from 1 species